CUUAGAACUACAUCUCCUGUACCCUAAAUUUAAUAUGGAGAGCUGAUCUGCAACUCCAAAUCAAUACACAUCAACCAAUAGGUGCGUCUUCAGCAAUUAAAUUUUUGUUUCUGCGUCUUUCUUUUCUUUUUAUGAUGCUAUUAACCUCCUCCUCCUCUUCCAGUACAAGAGAAAUGCCAAUAUGAACAAUUACGUUGACAAAACAACUAAAGGGGAAUUUAUUUCUUUGUUUAUAUGAAUAAUUAUACACAUUACUGAUAAUACAUGCUGAAAACAAAAAAUCUCUGAUGUCAUUGUUAAAUCCUUGUGCCAGGGACAGACAGAUAUCAAUUUACCAACUUCAACUAAUUCACGUGUGGUGCAGCAUCAAACAAAGUUUCCCAACCCCCUGAACUGUCAUGUCCACAUUUCAGUGUACCGGGCUUAUACAAGUUCAAGUCUUACGGUGCUCAUGAAAAUGGAAAAAUAAAUACAACUGUAUCCAAUAUAUUCAUAUGACAUGUUUGUAUCUCUACCUACAACUUGUAGGUACAUGUAUGGCUAUCGUUAGCUAAUAAAAACUUUGGUAAGAAAUAAUUUUUAAAAAUUUGAUGAGAGACUGAUUCGCCAAGAAGUUUUUGAUCUUCUGAGAGGUUUAUAAUAUCCAAACUGUAGGGUUAACGUUACAAGACUGAACUUUCUAAAGUUAAUAAUUCAAUUAUUUGGAAGAUAGGAUUAAAUGACGAAGAUUUAACAAUUGAUGUUACAUUGUAUUUAAUCACUAAACUAUCAGUAUGUCAAUUUGCCCUGCAAAAGCACACACGUUAGUAUUAAAAGAUGAAUGGGUGUUUAAAGUCAAAAUAGCCAAAAAUCUAUAUAUUCUGGGCAAUGAUGGAUAUGUUGCCAUAUAGUUCCCACCUCAAAAUAAAGACAAAAGGGUUUUUUUUCGGAAAAAACACAUUGUAAUGUAAUGAUCUAAUGAUACAAUAACAAAAUGUACAAAUCUAUUGAAAAAAUAUA